rnacentral:lncRNA from 1 species
AUUACCUCCUACUUUUCAUGGUCUGUUUUCUAUGUUAAAAUUCUUUCGUCUUUGUGCAUCUAUGUGACUGUGGUAUUAUUUAUGUCUCGUGUGGUUGCCAGCUUUCAUACCGGUGAAAGCAGUUGACAUUCUUCUUUUUUGCCUUUUUAUGGAUAGUCAUUUUUAAAUAUCUCUGAUACAUCGUUUUACCUUUUAUAAGAAUUUCGAACAAUUGAGUAAGCUGCUUAAAGCGUCAGGGUCCUCUAUUUGUUUAUCAAUUUGGGACUUGUUCAGAGGCCCAAUCGGUGAACAAUUGUUUUAGCUUCAGUCUAAAGGGUGCAUGUCUUUGCAUCUGAGUUUUGGAUUUUGUAUGGUUUCAAAAAUCUAAGUUAUCUAAGAUUCUUGAUCGUCCGUGGGUGAAGGUUGAUGAUUUCAGCUGUGCGUGAUAGGCAUUAAAAUGGAUAUUUUUGUCCACAUAUUGGUCAAUAAAUUUAUUCACAGACUUGUCUCUGUACUCAUCUAGUCCGUGUGACAUGGUGCAGAUAGAUUUAUGUGUUUUAUUUAUUGUAGUUUUAUUGUCAUUUUACCUUCGUAAAGUUUUUUAUUGGUUAGUUUUGGGUGGGCUUUUGAGAUCUAUUAUCAGUUAUAGUUGAGUGGGAAUUUCGUAUAUGAUUGCCACAUCAACUUCUCAAAACUGACGAGAGACUGCUGCUAGGUUAGUGUGCGGAAAGACAUUGGAUUUCAGUGAUUGUAGGCUCUCAGUGUGUGCAAGGUAGGUAGAUGCUCGUCCACUUUCAGUCUGCAGAAAUUAUUUUAGGGGUUGGAUUCCACAGGUUAAUUCCCAUAAAAAAUGGGUGAUGUGAAUUAGUCCGAGGGACAGUCCAAAUUUUAAAACUAAUCUAUAACGUCCUUCAUGAGGAAGGAAAGUUAAAAUGUCUUGUCAGCCUAAGUUACGUUGAAAUCCAUGAUUUUGAAAAAAGUACAAACAAUGCCCCCCUACACUUAUUUUUUAAAUUUUGAGGGGACCUUCAGUUAGCAAAAGUUGCAUCUGGCUUCUGAUACAUUUUCUAUAGCGAACAAGGACAGAAAUUAGAAAUACAUAAUGGACGGAAAAGGCAACUUUGAAAUGGCAUCUUAAUAGUAUCUAUUUCUUUGAAAGUGGAGGUAACCACUUCUAUUUUUUCUCUAUAUUGUGUGCAAUGGGUGUUAGUAGAAGGAGCAGACGCGAGCUUAUGUAAAUUGAUGUUGACAUGAUGGUUAGAUAGUGAGAAUCAUCCAGAAAGAAAUGAGUAGAGAUAAAGAUCAAGUCCUAGCAGCCGGGGACUGAAGUGGGCCAUUUUUUUUAUUAGCAUUUCAUGAUUUUUGCUAAUUUUUGGGUUCUGGAACUUAAAAGUAAGAAAGUUUAGGUUGAUUUCCUUUGCUCUUUUUAUUUUAUUUUAUAAGAAAAUGUCUUUUGGGGUCAUGUGAGCUAGAGUACUGGUCCAUUUCUGGAUGAAGUUCUCAUUGAAUCCUUUAACUUUAACAUUUAUGCGUAGCUCUAUUUGGUUUUCCCUCGUCUCAUUUGGUUUUUGAUUACUCUAUAAAUAAUAAUGUAAUGCUGAGAUCCGUUAUGAGAACUACCUUACGGUCCAUGUACAAAGAUAAUCAAGUUUCAUAUCUACUGUGAACUUUACCUGGGGCAUCUGUUUUAACUGAUAUUUCGCAAUCCCGUAGCCACUACGAUGUGUGGAUGAACUUUUUUUCAUAUUUCAUGAAACUAGCUCACUUUGACGUUCUUGUUUACGUCUGGGAUUCGACUUUUCUGUACAAUCCAAUAUAAAGUCUUUUUCGUCCAAUUCUGCAUCAGUCAUCUUUAUUUUCGGAGUUCAUUUGACGAUUUUUUUUAAUUAGAAUCAUAUUCAUAUUACAUUAUAUGAGCCUAUGUUUAAAACCGCACUGUCUUUCUUAGGCAUGAAGGUAUACACUACUGACGAGAAAGAGCUAAUUAUGGAGCCAUCGUUGAAAUGGGCUGGGAAUCCAAAUAUUACUGUUGUGGUUAAAGCAUUUGGCCUAAGAGCAACUGUGCAGGUUAUCAACUCAUUUCACGCUUCAUACGAUUUUUUUUUUUUUCUGAUGCUGCUGAUCGUCGAGUGUCUGUAAAUUUAGCUGUGGAUUUUUUUCUUUCUCGUGAAAUCUCAGGUCGUGGAUUUACAAGUGUUUGCCACACCACGGAUCACGUUAAAGCCAUUGGUCCCCUGUUUCCCAUGUUUUGCAAACAUUAUUGUCUCACUUAUGGAAAAGGUACGGUGAAAUAAUCACAUUUUGACUUUGCUGGUUCAGUUUCAGUCUCUAUGAGAAGGUGUCUUGCCAUUGCUUGACUUUUUUUUUUUCCCCCUUCCCUUCCCUGCAGCCACACGUUGACUUUGGGCUAAAACUUCUUGGAGCGGAUGUUAUGGCAAUUCCUGGUUUAUACCGAGUAGUUCAGGUAUAGGGCUCAUGUCUGUUCUUGCUGUCAAUAUCGUUCUAACUAGGAGAUGGGCUUUUUUUUUUUUUUUUUUAUCAUCCCCGAGGGAAUACUGAAUAAACCCCAUGGUCAACAACAAUAGUAAUUUUGAAUUGAAGCUUAAUCUGAACUCCUCCAAUCGAUUUCAUUCAAAGUACAAUCUAGUUUUGGUCUAUAACUGGGGAGCCCCAUCAGGGCUAAUAAUAUAAAGAAGUUCCCCUUUCCUAACCAUUGGUUUUCUUGUUUUUUCUAUUAUUUUCUCUAAACCACUCCCCCCUCUUCCCGCAGAUUCGAAAAAUAGAAUUUUUUAUUUUUUCAAACUCGAAUUUAUGAUGUUUAUUUUCACCAUGAAUCAGGAGAACGGAAGGUCGGUAUAUUAAACCCAUUUAUUCUGUCUUUUCGAUCUCCUCUCCUAGUAACCUGAAUGAUCCGCAUGAUUCUUUCUCUGGUGCUUAUACAUGGAGGAUUUAUCCAAUUACCUCCGGUUCCGAUCAACCAAGAAAUCGUAGGAAAAAUAAGUUCGUGGCUGAAAAUCUGUUUAUUUAUCGAUUUAUCCCUGAUCAAGCAAUCCGCGUGAUCACUGCAGGAGAUUAUCAAGGAUCAAGUGGCGAACAUGUACCUGUGGCCCAAGACGCUGGAAGUCCCCAUCCUGGACCCGUCCAAGUACUAGCGAUCUCUUCUCUCUCGCCAUGAUUUAUAUUGAAACGGGGGGUAGAAUCUCCAUGUUGAAUCCUUGGGCGGCGGACUUGGCAGAGCGAUGAAGAGGCCCGUCGGGAUUCUGCACGUGAAGGUCGUCAGAGCCCUCAAGCUGAAGAAGAAGGAUCUGAUGGGCAAGUCCGACCCCUACGUCAAGCUGAAGCUCACCGAGGAGAAGCUCCCCUCCAAGAAGACCUCCGUCAAGCACAGCAACCUCAGCCCCGAGUGGAACGAGGAGUUCAACCUCGUCGUCAAGGACCCGUCCUCCCAGACUCUCGAGCUCGUCGUCUACGACUGGGAGCAGGCACUCUCUCUCUCUCUCNNNNNNNNNNNNNNNNNNNNUCUCUCUCUCUCUCUCUCUCUCUCUCUCUCUCUCUUCCUCUGUGUUGUUUGUCCAUGGGUCGUCCUCAUGGUGUGCGCCAUUUUUCUCAGGUUGGGAAGCACGAGAAGAUGGGCAUGAACGUCGUGCCCCUGAAGGACCUGACGCCGGACGAGGCCAAGACGUUGACCCUCGACCUCCUGAAGAACAUGGACCCGAACGACCCGCAGAACGAGAAGGCCCGCGGGCAGAUCGUCCUGGAGGCGACGUACAAGCCCUUCAAGGAGGAGGAGCUGGAGAACGCCUCCGAGGAGCAGGGCGUUGACCUCGUGGAGAAGGCCCCCGAGGGGACUCCCGCCACCGGCGGCCUCCUCGUGGUGAUCGUCCACGAGGCCCAGGACCUCGAGGGCAAGCACCACACCAACCCCUUCGUCCGCAUCCUCUUCCGGGGGGAGGAGAAGAAGAC